CUGCAUUUAAAAUUCGGAAAAACCAUUCAAAAUUACAAAAGAGUAGAAAAACGCUUUUCGAGCGAACUAUAAUAGCUCCCUUAGAUUUCGUCAUGGAGAAAAAAGAUCGAAAGAAAUGAUGACCGAAUGAUAAGACAGAUAAGAUAUUUCAGCUGAUUUUGGAGUUGCUCAAAUCGAUGCCUAUCGUUAAGAUAUAUUUAUAGUUUUUAACAGAAAAAUUGCUUGCUGUGGCAAUAGUUGUAAGGGAACUGAAGGAUGUGCAUUCUCUUUUGAAAGUGUCGUGUUGCACAGAUAUUUGUCUUAGAGAUGCAGAACUAUCAAUUAGAGCAUCACUCAAAUGGCCACAGAUUUCACAAUCUCUAAUUGGACCAUUGGAUUGGCGCUUCCUAUCGCACCCCACACUGCUGCACUGGCCGGCAAGCAGUCAAUCAAUCAAUCAUUGCCUCGUUAAGCAGAACUUUUUUGCAGCUAAACAUUUCAAUCUUUUUCGCUCUGAUGCCACUGAAUCGGGUAAGUAGAUACAUCUCGUUCUUGCUUCAUUUUCUUCA